rnacentral:rRNA from 1 species
UACGUAGGGGGCAAGCGUUAUCCGGAUUUACUGGGUGUAAAGGGAGCGUAGACGGUGAUGCAAGUCAGAAGUGAAAGCCCGGGGCUCAACCCCGGCCUGCCGUCGGAACUGGGUGCCUUGAGUGGGCGAGAAGUAUGCGGAAUGCGUGGUGUAGCGGUGAAAUGCAUAGAUAUCACGCAGAACCCCGAUUGCGAAGGCAGCAUACCGGCGCCCUACUGACGCUGAGGCACGAAAGUGCGGGUAUCGAACAGG